UUUAUUGGAGAGUUUGAUCCUGGCUCAGGACGAACGCUGGCGGCGUGCCUAAUACAUGCAAGUCGAGCGGACUUGUGAGAGCUUGCUCUCGCAAGUUAGCGGCGGACGGGUGAGUAACACGUGGGCAACCUGCCUGUAAGACUGGGAUAACUUCGGGAAACCGGAGCUAAUACCGGAUAAUUCUUUUCUACACAUGUAGAAAAGCUGAAAGAUGGCCUAGGCUAUCACUUACAGAUGGGCCCGCGGCGCAUUAGCUAGUUGGUGAGGUAACGGCUCACCAAGGCAACGAUGCGUAGCCGACCUGAGAGGGUGAUCGGCCACACUGGGACUGAGACACGGCCCAGACUCCUACGGGAGGCAGCAGUAGGGAAUCUUCCGCAAUGGACGAAAGUCUGACGGAGCAACGCCGCGUGAGUGAUGAAGGUUUUCGGAUCGUAAAACUCUGUUGUUAGGGAAGAACAAGUACCGUUCGAAUAGGGCGGUACCUUGACGGUACCUAACCAGAAAGCCACGGCUAACUACGUGCCAGCAGCCGCGGUAAUACGUAGGUGGCAAGCGUUGUCCGGAAUUAUUGGGCGUAAAGCGCGCGCAGGUGGUUCCUUAAGUCUGAUGUGAAAGCCCACGGCUCAACCGUGGAGGGUCAUUGGAAACUGGGGAACUUGAGUGCAGAAGAGGAAAGUGGAAUUCCACGUGUAGCGGUGAAAUGCGUAGAGAUGUGGAGGAACACCAGUGGCGAAGGCGACUUUCUGGUCUGUAACUGACACUGAGGCGCGAAAGCGUGGGGAGCGAACAGGAUUAGAUACCCUGGUAGUCCACGCCGUAAACGAUGAGUGCUAAGUGUUAGGGGGUUUCCGCCCCUUAGUGCUGCAGCUAACGCAUUAAGCACUCCGCCUGGGGAGUACGGCCGCAAGGCUGAAACUCAAAGGAAUUGACGGGGGCCCGCACAAGCGGUGGAGCAUGUGGUUUAAUUCGAAGCAACGCGAAGAACCUUACCAGGUCUUGACAUCCUCUGCCAACCCUAGAGAUAGGGCGUUCCCCUUCGGGGGACAGAGUGACAGGUGGUGCAUGGUUGUCGUCAGCUCGUGUCGUGAGAUGUUGGGUUAAGUCCCGCAACGAGCGCAACCCUUGAUCUUAGUUGCCAGCAUUCAGUUGGGCACUCUAAGGUGACUGCCGGUGACAAACCGGAGGAAGGUGGGGAUGACGUCAAAUCAUCAUGCCCCUUAUGACCUGGGCUACACACGUGCUACAAUGGAUGGUACAAAGGGCUGCGAGACCGCGAGGUUAAGCGAAUCCCAUAAAACCAUUCUCAGUUCGGAUUGCAGGCUGCAACUCGCCUGCAUGAAGCCGGAAUCGCUAGUAAUCGCGGAUCAGCAUGCCGCGGUGAAUACGUUCCCGGGCCUUGUACACACCGCCCGUCACACCACGAGAGUUUGUAACACCCGAAGUCGGUGGGGUAACCGUAAGGAGCCAGCCGCCUAAGGUGGGACAGAUGAUUGGGGUGAAGUCGUAACAAGGUAGCCGUAUCGGAAGGUGCGGCUGGAUCACCUCCUUUCUA
rnacentral:rRNA from 1 species